rnacentral:rRNA from 1 species
UACGUAGGGAGCAAGCGUUGUUCGGAUUUACUGGGCGUAAAGGGCGCGUAGGCGGCAUAUUAAGUCAUCUGUGAAAUCUCCGAGCUUAACUCGGAACUGUCAGCUGAUACUGAUGUGCUAGAGUGCGGAAAGGGCAAUCGGAAUUCUUGGUGUAGCGGUGAAAUGCGUAGAUAUCAAGAGGAACACCUGAGGUGAAGACGGGUUGCUGGGCCGACACUGACGCUGAGUGCGCGAAAGCCAGGGGAGCAAACGGG